GUGGCCGUUGGGGCGGGAAAAAGCUGUGGAGGGUUCGAGGCUGUGGUGGCAAUUGGGUUUUCCUCAGACUUGAGGCGACGACACACUCAUUGGAAGGGGACGAGGAAUCCAGGGUGUGGCAGAAGACUGGAGAGGAGCUAAGGGGGUCGGUAUGUGUAUCCAGUGAACCCGUCCAGGUGCCCCAAGAGGCUCGUGAAUAUGGACAGACCCAUGAGGCCAAGAUCGGCCUCCCUCGUUGACUUUCAGUUUGGAGUUGUCGCCACAGAGACGAUCGAAGACGCCCUGCUUCACUUGGCCCAGCAGAAUGAGCAAGCAAGUUUGUUUUUCUCCUGUCUGAACAAUGGUGUCUGGAGAAAUCUGUGAGCUACCAGGCUGUAGAAAUCCUAGAAAGGUUUAUGGUAAAACAGGCAGAGAACAUCUGCAGGCAAGCCACAAUCCAGCUAAGAGAUAAUAAGAGAGAGUCUCAGAAUUGGAGGGCUCUGAAACAGCAGCUUGUCAACAAGUUUACUCUCCGUCUUGUGUCAUGUGUUCAGCUGGCCAGCAAACUUUCCUUCCAAAACAAA
rnacentral:sRNA from 1 species